CCUACGGGUGGCAGCAGUCGAGAAUCAUUCACAAUGGGGGAAACCCUGAUGGUGCGACGCCGCGUGGGGGAAUGAAGGUCUUCGGAUUGUAAACCCCUGUCAUGUGGGAGCAAAUUAAAAAGAUCGUACCACAAGAGGAAGAGACGGCUAACUCUGUGCCAGCAGCCGCGGUAAUACAGAGGUCUCAAGCGUUGUUCGGAAUCACUGGGCGUAAAGCGUGCGUAGGCUGUUUCGUAAGUCGUGUGUGAAAGGCGCGGGCUCAACCCGCGGACGGCACAUGAUACUGCGAGACUAGAGUAAGGGAGAGGGAACCGGAAUUCUCGGUGUAGCAGUGAAAUGCGUAGAUAUCGAGAGGAACACUCGUGGCGAAGGCGGGUUCCUGGACAUUAACUGACGCUGAGGCACGAAGGCCAGGGGAGCGAAAGGGAUUAGAUACCCCAGUAGUC
rnacentral:rRNA from 1 species